UCCAGUGGACAGACUUCAGACGUCUCUGUGUGUCCGGUCCUGUCUCUGGUUGCCUGGUUAAAGACGCUGCUGAACCCGCACGUUUAAAAAUGUCUACACCUGAAACUCCACCACGUCUAAAGAAGCAAAAACGUUUGCAAAUGUACAGACUGGAGUGGGAAGAGUGGAACCCCUGGCAAUGGAUACAAGGCAAACUGUGUUUUCUGUUGCUCAUGGACUGGCUGAAGUAAGGCAGCAUCAGGAGACAAACAUGGAGGAAAUAUGAGAACAGAGAGAACCCAACCAGCAGGUCACAGUUUAUCAUCAUCUAAUCAUCUCCUGAAGUCCAUAUGACCAAAGAACUACAGACUCUUCACAACCUGCUCAAACUCUUGGUACAGGACCUCACCACACGGGUCAAGAAGGUUUCCAUCUCAUUUCUACUCUGAAGCUCACCUUCUCCUGCUCAGACUGCUGACAAAUGUUUCUGCUGCUCUAAAGUCUGGUCUCCAGAACUUCCUAAAAACUUUCAAAGUCUCUUCUGCUGCAGGUUGCUUUGUAGAACUGUUGCAGAAAACCUCACUAAACCACAUGGAUGGGCCUCAAGAUAGUCGUCCAAAUGAAACCAUACAAAAACCAAACUAGCACAACCCAAACGCUAAAGUCUCCUGCAGCCUACCAGAGAACCUCUGAGAACAGAGAAUCAGGACAGGAACUCUUACCUUCUGGACAACCAACGCUGGUUCAGAAGCAAGAAUACAGAAUGUGUCUGACCAAAAACCUCUAAAGACUCACUACAGCCAAGAUACAGACACAACUCAGCUGUAUCAAAUCCACUAAUCACUGCACACAUUAGCACCAUGUGCUAACUGUGGCUAAAGAACCACAUCUACCAAGACAACUAUCCAGUACAAAGCCCUAAAACACACCAAGAAACACAUUAAAGACGAUUUUACUGCUGGAAGUUGCAAGCCAACGCCUAAAAAACAAACUAAAGCAAUGGAGCCAAACCCGGUUCAGUGGGAAGAGAAGCAGAGGAAAUGUUUGAAUGCAGCUAAAUAAAGCAGGAAGACACUGAGCUGCUCAGGUGUUCCUGAUAACACCUAGCAGCCACCUGGACAGCCAAUAGGAACACAGCUUACUGGAAGUCCAGAGGGCUGGGUUAGUGAAGGAAAUUUAAUUUAAAGUUGAAGCAGAAAGUUAACAAAGAAAGUUGAAAACCACCUUCUGAUACCUGAAAUCUCUGAGUUUUCACACAAAGAACACCUGAACGUGUCAAACUGGUUCUAUAGUAGAACCAUCAUUGUAAAAACGUCAUAGUAUGGUGUGUUGCUCAAAAAACAUUAGGACCCAGCUGUCUAGGGUUGCAGAGGAGCAACACAAAAACAGGACAAAUGCUGGUUUCCAGGGGGUUAGGCGGCUAUUUAUUUGAAAGAGGAAGUUCAUAACAACACAUGUGAGCAGAAAAAUCACAAAGUCUGUCUUUAGUUCAGCUGAAAAUAUUAGUUUUUGUCUUUUUUAUUGACCAAACUUUUCAGGAAGUAGAUGAAGAAUAAUUAAAGCUCUCAUGUAGAAGUCCAACUUAUUUUGGAUCCUUGUGGAGAGUUUAAUCUUUGUAAAGUUUGUAAAGCUGUUGAGUUUUUAGAGUCACAUGGAUUGUUUUGACAUUUAAUAACCGAGUCCUGAAAUAAAAUUACAGUUGUGGA